rnacentral:tRNA from 1 species
UAGUUCAGUCGGUAAAGAAUCUGCCUGUAAUGCAGAAGACCUAGGUUCAAUUCCUGG